GACAGAGGAUGCAAGCGUUAUCCGGAAUGAUUGGGCGUAAAGCGUCUGUAGGUGGCUUUUUAAGUCUGCCGUCAAAUCCCAGGGCUCAACCCUGGACAGGCGGUGGAAACUACCAAGCUGGAGUACGGUAGGGGCAGAGGGAAUUUCCGGUGGAGCGGUGAAAUGCGUAGAGAUCGGAAAGAACACCAAUGGCGAAAGCAGCACUCUGGGACGUGACUGACGCUGAGACGCGAAAGCGUGGGGAGCAAACAGG
rnacentral:rRNA from 1 species